rnacentral:rRNA from 1 species
GACGAACGCUGGCGGCGUGCUUAACACAUGCAAGUCGAACGGAAAGGCCCUGCUUUUGUGGGUUGCUCGAGUGGCGAACGGGUGAGUAACACGUGAGUAACCUGCCCUUGACUUUGGGAGAACUUCAGGAAACUGGGGCUAAAACCGGGUAGGAUCUCCUGCUGCAUGGGGGGGGUUGGAAAGUUUCGGCGGUUGGGGAUGGACUCGCGGCUUAUCAGCUUGUUGGGGGGGUAGUGGAUUACCAAGGCUUUGACGGGUAGCCGGCCUGAGAGGGUGACCGGCGACAUUGGGACUGAGAUACGGCGCAGACUGCUACGGGAGGCAGCAGGGGAGAAUCUUGCACAGUGAGCGGAAGUCUGAUGUAGCGACGCCGCGUGCGGGAUGACGUCUUUCGGGUUGAAAACCGCUGUCGCCUGUAACGAAGCGUGAGUGACGGUAAUUGGUAAAGAAGCAACGGCUAACUACGUG